rnacentral:lncRNA from 1 species
CUAGGGAUGCAGGCCAGGCCUUAGAAGUCUUGGAAUUUCCCAGGUGAUUUCAAUGUAUAGCCAGGCUGAGAACCAUUGAGUUAAAAUGUCAGCAUACUCAGGUGGGGUCUUUCUUGCCUUUCUCUCCCUGCUGUUUGCUUUCACGUCAUCGAGACAGGAAGGGCUGGGAGUUGCUUCAAAGUGGAGGACGUACAGGCAGCUCACUGUCCCUGGGUGAGCUUCCCCUUCCCGCAUCAGUUUGGCAGGAGGCUAAUUAUUUGUCUUUCGGGCUCUGUCUCUGAGGCUUCAAAUUCUCUGGCAAUGGCAGGUGGGCUUGAGAUUGGACUUCUGUCAUCAGCUUCUGUGAUCUUACUCUGGCAUAGAUAGGGAAAAACAGACUGAGCCUGCCUCACAGCCUGCUUGUCUGACUCCCAGCUUAUUUAAGGAAGAAAGUGCCUACCAGGCAUUCGUGCUCACUGAUGCCUGCUGCCUCAGUCCCUCCUCACUCCAUCCCUCCCUCCCUCCUAUCCCUGCUGGAGACCAGGAACUGCACCCACAGCCAGUCCAGCCUUCUGUGGCUGCACAAAUGCAAGAUGCCAGUCUUGACCCCCAAAGCUGAACCCCGCUGCUGUGUAUGCCCUUAGGGCUAGCCCUUCCAGCUGUGCACUGGCAUGCCACCAGCCUGACAGCUGCCGCUGGCCUCCACCACAGUGAGCACACCUGUGGGAAGACUGCAGCCAUGGGACAGCAUGCUGGCAGCCAGGGCCCCUGUUUUCUGUCACUGGCCUGCAACACCAUGUUCAGCUGUAGCUAGCCCCUCUAGCUGCACACCUGAAUGCCACCCCCCGCCCCGACACUCAUCACAGGCCUCCACUAUAGGGCAGAUGGCCAAGGGGAGGUUGUGCAGUGACAAGGAAACACACUGACAGGCAAAGCCUCCACAGCUGCCAGCCAGCCCAUAGUUGGCUCUGGCCUUUGCUAGCUGCCCUAGCCCCCACCACUAUGUGUGUAUCUGCAACCAGCCCCUGCCACUACAUAGGCAUCUGCAGCUGGCCCCACAGCCAAGUAUGUAUACACUACCAGCUCCAACCACCACCACUGCCUGCCCUCAUCCAUAGCUGCUGGACUUGGAGGUGCCACUGAGGAUCCAAAAUCUCCUACAGGCCUCUGCAAGGACCACACAGUUGUGAAUACUGUGGACCUCAGCAGACUGAGCCAAAAGGACAUCAUGACCCCUCAAACCUGGUGCUGCCACAUGCCACCACACAUGGCAGACCUGGUGACAGCAUGCUCCGGGGUGCCCCGAUCUGCAAGCGAAAGUCUUCCCUUACAAAAGUCGAUCCAUAACGUCUGGAAGGUGUGGCUGCUUCUUCAAAUGUGCAGACACCUACGCAAGGCUACAGGGACCAUGAAAAAUCAGGGAAACAUGUCUCCACCAAAGGAAUACAGUAAACCUGCAGGAACUGGCCCCAAGGAAAUAGCUAUCCAGGAACUGGCCAACAAAGAAUUCAAAAUAAUUGUUCUAAAGAUGCUCAGAGAGGGGCUGGCCUAGUGGCCGAGUGAUUAAGUUCACGUGCUCUGCUGUAGGCGGCCCAGUGUUUCGUUGGUUCGAAUCCUGGGCGCAGACAUGGCACUGCUCAUCAAGCCACGCUGAGGCAGCAUCCAACAUGCUGCAACUAGA